rnacentral:rRNA from 1 species
GACGUAGGGCGCGAGCGUUGUCCGGAUUUAUUGGGCGUAAAGAGCUCGUAGGCGGUCUGUCGCGUCUGCUGUGAAAACUCGGGGCUUAACCCCGGGCCUGCAGGUGGGUACGGGCAGACUAGAGUGGCGGUAGGGGAGACUGGAAUUCCUGGUGUAGCGGUGAAAUGCGUAGAGAUCGGGGAGGAACACCAGAGGCGAAGGCGGCGACCUGGACAGGCACGUGACACUCAA